rnacentral:rRNA from 1 species
UACGGAGGGUGCAAGCGUUAUCCGGAUUCACUGGGUUUAAAGGGUGCGUAGGUGGGCAGGUAAGUCAGUGGUGAAAUCUCCGAGCUUAACUCGGAAACUGCCGUUGAUACUAUUUGUCUUGAAUAUUGUGGAGGUAAGCGGAAUAUGUCAUGUAGCGGUGAAAUGCUUAGAUAUGACAUAGAACACCAAUUGCGAAGCCAGCUUACUACACAACGAUUGACGCUGAGGCACGAAAGCGUGGGGAUCAAACAGG